rnacentral:rRNA from 1 species
AUUGAACGCUGGCGGCAUGCUUUACACAUGCAAGUCGAACGGUAACAGGUUAAGCUGACGAGUGACGAACGGGUGAGUAAUGCAUCGGAACGUGCCCGAUCGUGGGGGAUAACGCAGCGAAAGCUGCGCUAAUACCGCAUACGAUCUGAGGAUGAAAGCGGGGGACCGUAAGGCCUCGCGCGAUCGGAGCGGCCGAUGUCAGAUUAGGUAGUUGGUGGGGUAAAGGCUCACCAAGCCAACGAUCUGUAGCUGGUCUGAGAGGACGACUAGCCACACUGGGACUGAGACACGGCCCAGACUCCUACGGGAGGCAGCAGUGGGGAAUUUUGGACAAUGGGCGAAAGCCUGAUCCAGCAAUGCCGCGUGCAGGAAGAAGGCCUUCGGGUUGUAAACUGCUUUUGUACGGAGCGAAAAGGCUCUCUCUAAUACAGGGGGCUCAUGACGGUACCGUAAGAAUAAGCACCGGCUAACUACGUGCCAGCCGCCGCAGUAAAAC